ensembl:rRNA 5S_rRNA 5S ribosomal RNA
GUCUAUGGCCAUACCACCCUGAAUACACCUGAUCCCAUCUGAUCUCAGAAGGUAAGCAGGGCCAAGCCUGGUUUGUACUUGGAUGGGAGACUGCUUGAGAAUGCUAAGUGCUGUCGGCU